ACAUUUGAUUUGAAUGAAAAAAUUAUUCGGCAUGGUAUGAAAAUUAAUUAUGAUUAACAAUCCUAGUUAUCAUAAUAAAACUGAUAUUAAUAAAUAUUGUUGACUAUCUAUAUAAAAAUAUAAGUAUUUAUAAGUCCAAAAUUUUGAAGAAGUGAUGUCUAGUAGUUUUGAUGUUCUAUUAGAAAGUUUUCAUAGUACAAGGGAGGGGUUUUCAAAAAGAAGUAAAAAACAAUAACAAUUUAAAUAUUUUCUUUUGAACUUUAACAAUAUAAAUAUUGAUGGAUUCUCAAAUUCACGUUCUAAUUAAAUGUCUCUCUAAAUGGAGAUACGUAAUUAGAAAUAUCUUUCUACAAGUUUACCCUUGGUUCUUAGAAGACACUGUGGUGCAAAUGGAUUAGAGACCCCUUUGAUUCAAGGUACAAAAGUAUGACUAGGUCACACUCAGAAAGUGGAACCCAUGCAUGUUCAUGUCUUUGUAGUUGAAUUGUUUGAGAAGUCAAUUUAAUGAAAACAAAACGUGAUAGCCAAUCUUUUUUUUCUUCUCUUAUUUAGCGUUUGCAUCUCUCCUUUGACUUGCAAAAAAAUCCACCAUUCUUUUCAUGAAAUGAUGGAAGUUACAAACUCACAUGAUUCACGAAACAAAGGACGUCGUCUCACCCCGAUGCGAUCAUCUCUCCCCGUAUCAACACAGCAAAAAAUGGCCAAUGAUGACAGGAAAAAACCACCAAAGAAAAAAGGACGUCUCACCCCGAUGCGAGCAUCUCUCCCCGUAUCAAACCCAGUGACUCUAGCGGAGCCUUUACUGAUCACACCAGUUGUUGAAGGACGUAAAGUGGAGAUAUUGAAAAGCAUCGUAUAUGGAGGUUUAGCAGAAGCAAUCACAAGCCUCGGUGUUAUCUCAUCUGCCGCUGGUUCAGGUGCUUCAACAUUGAACAUUUUGGUAUUAGGGCUUGCGAACUUAUUUGGGGGGCUUGUUCUCAUUAUUCAUAAUGUAAGCAAUCACUUAAUGUUUCCUAAUCUUUACUGGUCUGACAUUUUUUAAAUUUUCAUAAUGUCAUAAGCUCGAAUAAGAGCUUGUAUUUUUCAUAUAAUUUUUUUCCUAAGUAGGACUAAAAUUGUUGCAUAAAAUCAUGCAUGAUGCUCAAGACCGAGUCUGGAUCUUAAGCGAUCGGUUCCUUUGCCUAUGCUCUAAACCGGGUCUGAGUUAUGCUUAAACCCACAAUCUCAAUAAACUUACUGAGAAAUUUUUUUGGUAGCUCCACGAAAUCAGAAAGGAGGAAGUACCCAUUAGAGAAACAACAGCUGAAAGCCAGACCAAUGGUCCAAAAGAAAGUCGGUACAAGCGACUCUUGGGACGAAGAGAAAACUUCAUGCUUCACGCAACAGUCGCAAUCUUAUCCUUUAUAAUCACCGGACUACUCCCACCUGUCGUCUACUACUUCUCAUUCAGCAAAGCACACAACAAAGACUACAAAGUGGCAUCAGUUUUCGGUGCAUCUCUGAUAUGUAUCGCCUUGCUCGCUCUAGCGAAAGCUCACGUGAAGAACCCGAGAAGCAGCUACUUUAAGAGCGUUUUGUACUACGCUGCGACUGCUGUGUCUGUGUCGGGGAUUACGUACGUGGUUGGUAACGUUGUGAAUCAGCUGACUGAGAAGUACGGAUGGUCUGAAACUCCGGCGGGGGAGAUGAUGCUUUCACUUAUGGGGAGAAAGGCUGGUGGCUUUGGAUACUCAUCACCAUACUGAACAUAGAACUUUCGUCUCUGAGAAGGAUCCAACGUUUUGUUACUUUUCUCUUUUGCUUUGCUUUGUGAGCUCUUGUUAAACUUGUGUGUGUGUGUUUUAUAUAGAGAUGCCAAAUCUUUGUUGUGAGUGCAGGAGUUGUUUCCAAGGGUAGGAAACAAAAAAAAUAAUAAAUGGUGGCUGUAUUCGAAUUUUAUGAAUAUCAUACCAUUUGAUUUGUAUGAAAAAAUAAGAAAAAAGAAGGUUCUACCGAGAAUUGAACUCGGGUUACUGGAUUCAGAGUCCAAUGUCCUAACCGCUAGACCAUAGAACCAUUUGUUAUAGCAAUCAAUAUAGACAUAAAUAUCUAGUAUUAUCUCGCUUGCCGUAAAAAUACGCUACAACGACGACGACGUUUAAA